AACAAAACCUAAAAAGUGCAAAAGUAAUGAAUAAAUAAAAUUACAUGACCAACUUUAAAUUUCAAAAAAUAAAAAACAGUAAUAAACCAAGUGCUAAAGUUAUAAAGAUUAGAACGAAAAGAGAAACGGAGACUUUGGCGAGAGAAAAUCAAAACAUGACUCUUGAAUGUGAAGAGCAACACGAUCUACAAUUAUCCCGUUCUAACAGUGCAACUGCAAUCAGUGAAAGAACUUUGGAAGAAUGCUGGUCUACCCUGCAACGACUUUUUAUGCACAAAAGCGCCAUGCAACAAAUGCAUCAGCAAAUACCUCGAAAUGGUACCUGUGGAUCUGAGUCUAAACCGCAUCAAUGUCAACAGUGUCUGAAAAGUUUUUCAAGCAAUCAUCAAUUAGUUCAACAUAUACGGGUACAUACCGGAGAGAAACCAUACAAAUGUUCAUAUUGUGAUAGAAGAUUUAAACAAUUAUCACACGUCCAACAACAUACCCGCCUACA